CCGGAGCCCCCAGCCGGCACCUUGCCGGGGAAGGCGGCCGAGGCCUUGGCGAGGACCCUGGGAGGAGCGAGGAAUGUUCGAGUGUCAGUUUGUGGUUUGCCAUGUUGGCUCUGUCGAGUAUCAGUUCAGAGUUGGUAGUGUACACAAGAUCAGGAGUUUGGGGGGUUUUCCCUACUUGGCAGCCUGCAAUCAACACAGCCCGGAGGGAGACCUCGACCCAGCAGGGAGAGGGUCUGACUUGUCUAGGAGGGGCUCCUGGGGCAUCUGGCUGGAAAAAGAUUCAUCCUCUAGUCCGAGAACAUUAACCAUAUCGUUGGGCUCUCCCAGCGCUGCUCCCUGAGCCUCUGAUUGACCCGUUUUCUGGGAAAACAGAGAGGUUGUGGGCAAUAACAAAAUCUGGACUCGUUAAUGGAAAACCUGAAGAAGAAACAGGUACUGUUCAGCUCUGUACUUCCAAGCUGGACCUAAAUAAUGGAAAUACGUGACCUUGGAGUUCAUGCCUUAACAAAGGGAGACUGGACGACAGCUACCUGGCUGGAGCCAAGGUUGACCGAGUGUGCAGGAUGGAGGGGAAGGAAGAGGAAGGAGGCUGCAUUGGCAUACACUGCGUGGCCACGUCCAGGAUAGAAGCAGGGGAGCCAAGGGCAAGCCUCUCCUUAGCCUGACACCACCCCUGCACAGGGGCCAAAGUCGCCUGGAAACUAUGCACACUGCUCCCGAAUGGACUUCUCCUUCAGUUCGGGCUGUUUGGGAGCACUAGUCCUCUGUGCACAGAAGGCUGGCGCUGACCCCUGAUGGGCAGCGGUGGUGUGGGAGGAAAAGCCUCAGCUGCAGAGCCUGGGGGAGGCUGGCUGGUGGGGAAGUCCGCUCAUGCUGUAACGUGAACUGCUACGCCACUAAGUAAAAGUAAAAUGCCUCAAGCGUUAUGGGAAAAAAAUUCGAAC
rnacentral:lncRNA from 1 species